rnacentral:lncRNA from 1 species
CUUUUGAAGAAAUUGUCUUUUUGGUUUUUCUCUCUCUAGCUCUCUCUCCCCUGUGCUUCUUCUUUUCUUUUUAGAUCUGAAGAACUUUGGUGAUCUUUGUAGUCAUCUGAUGAUGGUAGAAUGUUGGUACAGUGUUUUAGGCCUUGUUUGUGACUAGUAAACCUCUAUUUUGUUCUUGAUAAGGUUUUGUCUAAUCUUGUGGGCUAGGGUUCGAGUUAUUGAGAGAUCCUUGUGGAUUGAUGACCAUAUAGUGGGUCUGAUUUAGUUUUCUCAAAUGGUUGUACACUCUCUUAAAGGUUUCUUGCUAGUGACGGGCUUACUUCUGAGCUCCCCAGAUUAGACCGUGUUUGGCUGAACUUAGUGAACAAUUCUUGUGUUUGAUUUCUGUUCUUGGUUUAUUUUUACGAUUGCUUGUGGAUUUUGGGUUGAUAAUCCUAACAAAUAUGGUAUCAGAGCUCAAUUUUCGAGGCAUCUGCGUGAUAUACCUUGCCCUGAGGAUAUUCUGUGAGUUGGGAAAAGUAAAUCGUUGUGCAUAUUCUAGUUUUUCUGGAUCUGCAGUAUUCGGCUUUUUCAUUUCUUGAGAUUUUUUUACUUUCUAUCCAGAUUUUAAAGAUCUGCACAGACUGAUAUAUUCCAGUCGUAUUUUUGCCGUAUUACAGCUGCAAUUUUGGAGUUUCUUCCAGCUGAAGAAAUUGAAAAAUCAACCAUGCAAAAGGAAGACAAUUUCAAUAAAAAUUCUCCAGCCACCUUACCUCCCACAUGCUAGAAGCUCCCAAACACCUCAGAUGUUGCAGCCACCAUUUUCUGAUUCAUGCAUUAAAUUACAGCUGGAAAUUUGCAUGAAAACAGCCUGGUUUCAUGCAUUUUCAUGGCAGCUCUUUGGCAGAAUUUUUAGGCAGUUGGUUGGCAAUUUUUGGACCAGAAAAUUGAGGCGGUUUGACAAGCAAAUUUCGGCCAAUAUGAGGCGGUUUGUUUGGCAGAUUUUGGGCCAUAAUUUAUGGCGGUUCUUGCAACAUUUUUCUCUAUAAAUAGGGGUGUUUACCAAGAGAAUCAAAAAAAGCCACAAUAGAGAGAGGGUAAGGCCACAAUAAAAGAGAGAUUCCUUCCCUUGAGAGGAAGAAAAAUAGGAUAGAGAAAAGAGAAAUAAAAAAAGAGAGAUUAGAGAGACUCUUUUGAGAGGUUUUUUGUUGAGUUUGUAAACUCCGUUGUAAAUUCUAUUCAAGUAGAAAUAGAAUUGUUUUUCCUCUUUUAUUUUCUCUUCACGUGAUCGGAGAAUCACAACAAGUGGUAUCAGAGCAAGGUUUAUCAAUUGGCCCUCGUAGUUUUGAUAUAGCUCCGAUUUUGAUCAAGCCUAAGCCAUGGAGCAAUCUUUAUCGGGAGCUAUGAUCAAGCUUACUGCCACCAAUUACACACUGUGGAGGCCUCGGAUGGAAGACCUCCUCAGUUGUAAGGAUUUGUAUGACCCCCUGGAAGCCGAAGGCGUAAACCCCGAUCCUACCAAGGAGACGGAGUGGAAGAAGUUAAACAGAAAAACUAUCGAUCAAAUUCGACAAUGGAUUGACCAUAGUGUCUUUCACCAUGUGGCACAAGAGACAGAUGCAUAUGCUCUCUGGAAGAUUCUGGAGGACAUGUACCAAGCCAAGACCGCUCGAAACAAAGCCCUGUUGAUGAGGCGUUUGGUGAAUCUGAAGUUAAAGAGUGGAACUUCAGUUGCUGAGCACACCAGUGAAUUUCAGAGCUUGGUAAACCAAUUGUCAUCUGUGGAGAUGCCGCUUGGGGAUGAAAUACAAGCUUUACUACUUUUAAGUUCUCUUCCUGAUAGUUGGGAGACAUUAGUAGUAUCUCUUAGCAACUCAGCCCCUGAUGGAAAACUUACCAUGUCAAUGGUUAAGGAUGCCCUAUUUAAUGAAGAGGCCAGAAGAAAAGAUGUAGACACGGACCAAUCACAUGUCCUUGUCACAGUGAACCGGGGAAGAUAACAAGGAGACCUUCGAGGCAGGGGGAGAGGUAGAAGCAAAAGUAGGGGUAGAUCUAUAGAUGGAAGGAAGCCUACUUAUAAGUGCUACUAUUGUGGUAUGGAGGGCCACUUGAAGAAGAACUGCAGAAAAUUGCUAUGAGAGCAAGGCCACAACAGUUCGCAGCCGAAAAAUAAGGGAGAAGUUUAAGCAAAAAUCCUGUCUAUCAUGAAAGGUCAAAACAUAUUGAGGUGAAGUAUCAUUUCAUAAGAGAAAAACUCUCAUCUAGUGAAAUGGUUCUUGAGAAAAUUCAUAAUGAUUUUAAUCCUGCUAAUAUGGGGACUAAAAUACUGCCAGUUAAUAAAUUCAGAUCUUGUUUAUCAUUGCUUAAUAUUGAUACAGGUUGAUUUUUUGUGCAAGUAACUGGGCGAUGAUGUAGGGUAUGGUUUUGUCACUAGCAUUAUAGCAACAAGAGAGGAAGUGGGCGGUUUGAGAACCAAGGUGAAGAUUUUCUCAAACCAUACUUUCAUAAGUGAAAAUGCGUUUUCUCCCACUUGUAUCCCUAUGGACAGUUGGCAGUUUGGCAUUGGCUUACAAAUGGUCACAUGAGUUGUGCUUUCUCUUGGCUAUUGUGGACCGUUGAUUUAAUCCUAUGACUGAGAUUUAGUCUUCAAUAAGUAAUGCCUUUUGAGGGUUGGGAAAAGGAGCAGUCAGUCACUUUCUCUUUUAAAGAAAUUGUCUUUUUGGUUUUUUCUCUCUCUAGCUCUCUCUCUCAUCUGCUUCUUCUUUUCUUUUUAGAUCUGAAGAACUUUGGUGAUCUUUGUAAUAAUCUUGUAGUUAUCUAAUGAUGGUAGAAGGUUGGUACAGUGUUUUAGGCCUUGUUUGUGGCUGGUAAACCUGUAUUUUGUUCUUGACAAGGUUCUGUCUAGUCUUGUGGGCUAGGGUUCAAGUUAUUGAGAGAUCCUUGUGGAUUGAUGACCAUAUAGUGGGUUUGCUUUGGUUUUCUCAAAUGAUUGUACACUCUCUUGAAGGUUUUUUGUUAGUGACGGGCUUACUUCUGAGCCCCCCAGAUUAGGCCGUGUUUGGUUGAACUGGGUGAACAAUUCUUGUGUUCGAAUUCUCUUGUUGAUUUAUUUUUACUAUUUUUACGAUUACUUGUGAGUUUUGGGUCGAUGAUCCUAACAGUCAGAAACAUGAUAUGUUAUUAUCUCGUAUUGCAAUGUCAGUACCAUGCUUUUGAGGCAUUUCCUUGUUAACAUGCCAUGGCACGUCUGAUAUUUUAAAUUGCUAUUAUGUAUCUUUUAGGUAUGAGUAAAGCACAUGUGUUUUCCUUUUUAUAUCCCAUAUGUACAUAUAUUUUUCUUAUACGUUUUGUGAUCAGCACUGAUUUCCACAAAAAAUUAACAAGCGUAGGAAAUCAGUUCUCAUCAUUUGGUAAUUUCUUGUUUAGCUAGAUUAUUCAUGAUUGAGGCUAACGAUUUCUGUGCGUUUUUCUUCUUUUCUAGUUUUGGUUUUUAACAUUUCAACUAUCCAAUGUUUCCAUGUUCAUAUGUGCUCUGUCGCGAUACCGUUCCGCUAUCGCUAUCGGUGACUUGUUCAUUUCUAGUUUACUAGAUGCCUUGGUAAGACAAGGGCAUUGGAGGUAUCAGAAUGUGUUAAGUCUGCAAGUAAAAUGCUUGGAACAUGGGAUGGCAAUUGAUUGUCACUACAUCUAAAGUUCUGCACUAAAUUAUUUAAACGAAACACAAAGUUGUUGUUAUGGUAUUGGAAGAAUCCAAUACUUAUUCCAGGGAUCAUCCAAGCAUUACAUGUCUUGAUAUUCUUUUGUUACGUGCAUGUAAUUGAAAUUAUUACAUAUUCAUCGAAAUGUAUAUACC